rnacentral:tRNA from 1 species
ACGCCUGUAGCUCAACCGGAUAGAGCACCGGCCUUCUAAGCCGGGGGUUCGGGGUUCGAGUCCCCGCAGGCGUACCU